GAGGGCCUAGCGGCGGACGGGUGAGUAACGCGUAGGUUACCUACCCCUCAGAGGGGGAUAACUGUGGGAAACUGCAGCUAAUACCCCAUACGUUCCCGAGAGGGAAGAAAGGGUGCGUUAAGCACUGCUGAGGGAUGGGCCUGCGCCCCAUCAGGUAGUUGGUGAGGUAAAGGCUCACCAAGCCGGCGACGGGUAGCCGGUCUGAGAGGAUGGCCGGCCACAAGGGCACUGAGACACGGGCCCUACUCCUACGGGAGGCAGCAGUGGGGGAUUUUGGACAAUGGGCGGAAGCCUGAUCCAGCGACGCCGCGUGCGGGAAGGAGCCCUUCGGGGUGUAAACCGCUGUGGUA
rnacentral:rRNA from 1 species